AUACGAAAGGUGCAAGCGUUGUUCGGAUUUACUGGGCGUAAAGAGAGUGUAGGUUGUUUAUUAAGUCGGAUGUGAAAUCCCGGGGCUCAACCUCGGAACUGCAUUCGAUACUGGUAGACUAGAGUUCGGGAGGGGUAAGCGGAAUUCCGUGUGUAGCAGUGAAAUGCGUAGAUAUACGGAGGAACACCUGAGGCGAAGGCGGCUUACUGGACCGAUACUGACACUGAGACUCGAAAGCGUGGGUAGCAAACAGGAGUAGAUACCCUAGUAGUCC
rnacentral:rRNA from 1 species